GCAGGGGUAGCCAAGUCUGGUCAAAGGCGCAGGCUUGAGGGGUCUGUCCCGUUGUGGGUUCGUGGGUUCAAAUCCCACCCCCUGCA
rnacentral:tRNA from 1 species